AGAACGAACGCUGGCGGCGGGCCUCAUACAUGCAAGUCGAGCGCGAAAGUCCGCAAGGAUGAGUAAAGCGGCGCACGGGUGAGUAACACGUGGGUAAUCUACCUUUUGGAUUGGAAUAACCUGUCGAAAGACGGGCUAAUGCCGAGUAAGCUUUCUUGAACAUAAAGUUCGAGCAAGGAAAGAUGGCGCAAGCUAUCGCCGAUAGAUGAGCCUGCGUCCCAUUAGUUAGUUGGUGGGGUAAUGGCUUACCAAGACAAUGAUGGGUACCUGGUUUGAGAGAAUGAUCAGGCACACUGGAACUGAAACACGGUCCAGACUCCUACGGGA
rnacentral:rRNA from 1 species